rnacentral:tRNA from 1 species
GCCUGAUUACCUCAGUGGUUAGAGCACUGCAUGGUCUUGUAAACCCGAGGGGUACGGAGUUCAAUUUUCUGAUGGGGCU